AGUCACAAACACAUAUUUUGAUGCUUAAUUUCGUUAAUUUUCAUUUUUGUACAUAUUUCUAACUAAUCAUGUAUUAACCUCUCAUCUGCAACCUUAUUCUUACUGGCGUUGUUUGCAUGCUCUGGCUCUUUCGAGACCAUGCAGAUUUUGAUUAGAUUUUUUUCUUUUAAACAAUCCUCAAAUAUUCUUGAAAAAUUCAUUUUCAAAGUUUCUAGAAUAUUAUCCAAUGGUUUUUAUCGUUACGUGCUAUUUUCAUUUUCUUAAGCAAAGCAAAAUUUGAACAAAAACAUGGAUAAAAUGAAGAAUCACUUAAAAUUACUGGAAAACGACCCAAUGUGUAGACGACGGGGUUAAUAUCACACAGAUAAAAAUGUACAGAUCCAUUAACUUACGCAGUUAUCGAAAAACAUAAUUAAAUUAAGGGCGUAAAUUUCGUAUUCCUUAAUUACCUAAUUAUACGCGAAUAUAUUUUUAUUACACGUUUAAAUCUAUAUGUAUAAUCUACAUAUUACUAUUUAUAUCUUUGAUACAGUGUGAUAGUACAGAUUAAAUUACAUAAUCCAAAUUAGAAUAACUUAAACAAGAACAAUCUUUAGUUGUAUAAACAUAUAUAAAAUAUUUACCUUGAAUGAAGCAAUGAACGAUUUUACAUCUUUUCGUAUUUGUGCUUAACGAAAAUCGAACAAAUUAACUGCGUAAUUCUUCACUUAGUACUUAUUAUAUUACAAAAUUAUAUCUUCUGCACGAUAUACAUCUUGCCACAUCCGAACCAAAAAGAGGAAUGUACGAUACCAGUCUUCUGUUAUUAUAGCGUUAGUACUGCUUGCUGAUUGGCUACAAUCCUGGGUACAACAUGGAACCUGCGCGCGAUCCUUGAGCAGUCAUGUAUAACAAUACAUACAUAUAAACGUAUAAUAUUCAAAUGUUAAAGUUGGCACUAUUUGUUCAAAAUUACAUUUUAAAUCAAUUGACAAGGUUUUGCUUUUUUAGCUCGAAAUAUUCCCUUUAAGCGAGGUAACCAUCCGUACUCCAUUUUGCAGUACAGUACUACUUUCUCGACAAUUGUACUGCAAAGUUGUUAUGUACUGAUUAUGUCCUGCAUUUAAUACUACUUGGGAAGAAUUAUUAUUAGAAUUAUCAUUAGAAUAUCAUUAUCAAUUGUAUGUAACAAAUAUAGUAUUUUGAAAGUCAACCUAUUUCUUUAAAAGAAACAAAAAUAAUUAUCGAAUUUUUAACGAGCCUUUCUGAUACAAAUGCAGAUGUUGAAAAAGUUUUUUUCGUUGAUCGAUGUUUAUUGGUCUGCUCGGAAAUAGUCUUCAACAAUGAACUUAACAAUUAAUUAUAUUGUCAGCUGUCAUGAAAGUAAAAACUAAUAUACGAUAUAGUUGUGAAGAAUUUUUAAACAUACUAAAAGAAAAUGAUGAAAGUUUAAAAGAGGAAUAUUCAGAAUCAUUUAAGAGGAAUAUUUAGAAUCAAAUUUCAUUAGUCUAAUUCUUCGAUAAAAAAACAAUUUUAUAAGAGAGGAGACGCGCGUAAAUCUCUUUCAAAGUGAGCUGAAAUCCAUUGAGAUCGUGCUUUCAAGUUAUCUUAGAAGGGGCAGAGAAAGGAAAAUUCGUUAUCCCAUUACCAACAAUUGCCUCUGGCCCUAUUUUUGUUAAAAGUACAUUCGGUUUACUUGUAUUUUAUAUUCAGUUUUGAAGGGGAUUUAAUCGUUUAAGCCUUUCGCUACGGCAGUGUGCUCCGUCGGAGUGACACCGCUGUACGGGCCAUCGUGCCGCCGGAAUAGCGGUACUGAACGGAGCACUGCGACGGAAAGCAUUCAUAUGAUGAGCAGGGCUCGUGAUUAAGUGGUAUCCCGCGGAUGUCGUCUAUAGACGACGCUCGUACACACAGGUCAUCGCGCAAAUGCCGUCUAUAGGCAUGCCGCAUGUAUAUGCCGCCUAUAAAUGUAAUGAUAAACAAACUCCGGGCAAAACAAUGUCGCCGCUAGAUGCAACUGUCGAAUGAACACGAAUUUGAAUUUUCCGACUCUCCCCCGACCAGUAUAAAUAAACGGAUGCGAUCGCGAGCGACAGAGUAUCGAACAUUAUCGUACGGUAUCGUACAGUAUCUCCGAGUAUCUCACGAGUAUUUAUCGAGUUAAUGCGACGAGCAUUUACGAGUAUUUAUUCCGCUAUCUUAUUCCGCGAUUUGUACUUUGUACUAACGACUCACGUAUUCGGCUGUACGUUAAUUUAUUUAUUUAAUCGAAAUAUAUUUGACGAAUUGCGGCAGCAAUUUCUCGCUCUCGUUAUUUCACAUUAUCUAUCCUCGACCAUCCCUCCACAUAACUAAGAAAAGAAACUCUUUUUUCCACGUGCGAUAUCUAACGCAACUGAAUCUGAGACAAAAAGACUUUGUUUUUAAUGCGUAUCAUUACUAUCAUCAGAAUCACUAUCUUGUGGCGUAUCUCGUAUAUUGCAUCUUUAAUGUAUUUAAACCCUCGUAUAAUGCCUAUUAUAAUGACGAGAAAAAUUAUCUUUUUCCGUACGGAAAGCUUUAUGUUACAAAGGAAAUACUAAUACCUUGUUUGAACUUUUAAUAAAAUUAAGACAUCGAUUCCCUCCAUAUCGACUUAUCAUUGUCAUUUCAUUGCUGUUUUUCGUUUUUUAUGGCUUAUAAUCUGCAGUCUAUCCGAAUGUAUCAACAGCGAGACAGGCAAGCUAGUGGCAAGCGUUAUGUGGGAAAACGUUAAUAUUAAAUACAACAAUACUAAUACAAUAAUAAUAUACAACAAUAAUACAACAAUGAAAAUAGUGACAAAAGUGAUGAAUUUAAUAAAAGGCGGAAAUAAAGCAUUGAUGCACCGAAAGUAAAAAAGUUUUUCACAAGAUAUUAGUGCUGAUUACGAAGAUUGACAUUUGUAUACUGACGUGCACUAGCUUAAUGCAGGGAGAAGCCUUUACGGACUGAAAGUGAGAACUUCAAAAAAAGUGAGGUGAAAGGAACUCGACAGCUUGCAACAAAAAAUCGAACGUAUUUCUAUUUUGAGCAAUUUGCCAUUUUUAGCGGACAAUACACAGCACUUAAGUAGUUUAAGGAACAAGGACGUUAAAUCUGAUGUAAAUAAAUAAGGAAAACAUGAUCGCCGAGAAAGCGAGCCUCGUGUUUUUGCUCGACGAUUUCAUAUCCCUGCGUGUUUCUGAAGCCUCGGAACAAGCAAGCACACCCGGUUCUGAUCUCACAUGUAGCUUCAUUUUUUCUUCUUUAAUAAUUGAUAUCGCGGAUCUAGCGACAACCAAACCGCCCAUUAUUCUCGCUUAAUUAUACUUCUAUCAGCUGUUCAUAGAUGGCUAGCGACAUUUGAUAAUAAUAGCAGAGAGGAAAUUUCCUCUCUAGCAUCAGUCAUCAUUUCCGAGUAAAUAUCAGCAAAGAUUUAAUUUAAUUAUUUUGAUUAAUAACCAAAUAUAUGUAACGAAAAUAUGAACUAAUCGUUUCUAGUAACCCAAAUUUUUGUUUUCUGUAAUAGAAAUUUUUACUUCCUUAGUCUUUCUUCAUACUGGGCAGCAUGUGUAAAUCGCUCACACACACAGCAGGUUUCUUUCUUUAAUGGUAGUUGGUUCGGUAUUGAACUCGACUUUGGUUUUGAAACAUUGGUUUUUGAAUAUUAGAAAAAUUUGUUUAUACAAUAUUUGCCUCUUUUUCUAUAAUUGAUAAUCCUCCCGGAAAUUUCGUCUCAGAUAGUGGAAGCGAAGACACUGUUGUACACAUAAUAUUAGGAGUAGUAUUAUGCCAUAUGCUACAUGCCAUCAAGGAACAAUUCCUUACCUUUGGAUAAAAACCUUUUAAUAAAAUAUCAGUCGACAAUAUUAUUGCAUCCUCUCCUAUUACUGCCCUGUAUAAUGUAUUUUUAUAUAUUCUAGAGACUGGUUCGUUUGUAACUGCUUGUACAAAAUAUCCAACAAUUGCACAAUUUAUGACUUGUUACAUCAGCUUAUCUUCCUAGUAAUACUGAUCUUAAGUUGUUAAAAGGACAUUAAGCUGCAACCUCUGGAAAUCUAUAAAUAAAUAUUUGUAUAAAUAUACAAUGUGUAUACAAAUAUAUAUAUACAAUAUAAAAUAAAAAAAUAUAUAUAUAUAUUUAUGUAUAUAUAGGAAUAUGUGUAAAAUGUAUAUGGAAAUUUGAAAAAUGUGUAAGCAUAAAAUGUGUGUGUAAGCAUAUGUGAUGUGUAUUCCACAAACAUCAUCAAAUAUUUGUUUCAAUGACAUUAAUGUAUCCAGAUUGAACCCACUCGUUUCUUGUAUCAUUAAAUACCAUAUAUGAAUUAAGAUAUCUUUGUCCACAGUGAUUAUGUUUAAUAGUUAUGUUAAUAUUGUUACCAUCCACAUAUAAAGCAGCUAUAUACUUUGGUAGAUUACAACUGUUACAACGAUAUAAGUAGUUGUUUCGAUAAUCAAUAUUGUAUGUACAAUGAUUGUGCACAUACACAAAUAAAUCUGCUCCUUUCUCAGGAAAUUUCUGCAUCUGUGCAACAUAUAUUUAUAAAUGUCAAGAAUCCACCCAACAAAGAAUAAAAUUAAUGCAAGUUCCAGGUCAAAAUGUAUCAUUUAACCAAAUUAUUACAUAGUAAUAUUGCAAAACAUAAGACAAGUUAUCUUUAACUAGAAAAUGCAAAGUAACACAUAAUAUGAUUUUCCAGUGAUAAUGAAAUGUUCUAAAUAAAUUAUCAAACAAACUGCCUUGGUCUGAAAAUAUUCAUUGAUAAUAUUCAUUUAAAUUGAAUGUUCUAAGAGCUGUCAUUAUAUUUUACAUAAAUCAACAAUUUUAGAUCAAGCAAUGUAAACCGACAUCCUUCAUAUAAUGUGUAUUAUAUAUUUCCUCGCAAUAGACAAAACCUGAUAAUGGUCAAAUUGAAACAAUUCACUUAUAUCGUGUAUUUGACAUAUACUUACACAAAAAAUAAUCAUCUCAUAAUUUUCACAAUAUAGUUUUCCAUUUCCAUAAUGUUGAAGUAGAUAACUGUUUGACACUAAUUAUAUCACCCAAUUAUACCACCUGCAAGAGAUAAGUAAAAAAACCACAAAGUAUUGUGUUCAUUCCUCUUAAGUCUAUUUUUCAUAGGCAGAAAAUACUUAUCUGAAUUUCUUUUCUGGUUCUUAGCUUCCAAUUGACAUAAAUACUAUUAAGUAUGUGGAAUUGUUCAGAAGCUGCCAUGACAGAUGUAUAUAUUCACAUGAAAUUCCUCAGUACUUCAUAUUUCCAGACAUAUUUUAAGUAUUGAAUUACUCACGGAUCGUUGCACAAAUACUAUAUACGUAUUGCAUGGAUUCAAGAUACAGCGAACUUCGCUUAAUUAGAAUUGCUGAAUGAGAUAAUGUAUUAGGUUGUCCGAAAAGUUUCUUUCAUUUUGUAAGGCGAUAAUAGAUGAGCAACAAUUUCUGUUUUAUAUUAUUUUAUUGAAUUAGAUAUGAUCCAUUCCGUUCUAUUUCUAUUAUUAUAUUCGUGCAUAAUUCAAUAAACUAAUAUAAAACAAAAUACAUUGUGCGUCUAUUAUUUCCUUAUAAAACGAAAGAAACAUCUCGGACAACCUAAUAAUAAUACUUUAGUACUUUAAUAUGGAUAUAAUUGAAAUAAUAUUUAGAAUAUCAAGAUUAUAAUAAUGGCAUUAAAUGCAGCCUUUAAAAAUAAUUAAUUUUAUCAUGCUAGAAAUUAACCGAUAAACAAUUUUAAUUAAUCUAAGCGCAUUUGACACUUUCAUAACCGGAAUCAAUAAGAUUAUUAAAUUGUGGAUCGAUUAGAGACGUCAAUAAUUAAGAUGGAACACGCAUAACCUGAAAUCGAUCAUGUAUUACGCCAGUUAAUAAUGUUCUCGUUAUCCCUUAGAUAGCAGCACAAACUAGCGAAAAUGCAUACCGGUAAGGCAGUUUCUUUAUUUUCUAGCGGGAAAAAAAUUUAAAUAUAUUUAAAUACACGAGUAUUAAUAUUAAUAUUAAUAAUAUAUUUAAAUAUAUUAAUAUAUAAUAUUAUGCAUAUGGACUUAAAUAUAUUAGUAUAUUGUAAUAUCGUAAAGUAAUUUAAAUUAGAGGUCGGUUGAAAUUAGAAAAAACCGUGUACGUCGUCUUUCUGUGGUUUGUUUACAUUUAAGAGCGCCUAUAUGACUAAAGUCACCUAGUUCUUACAUAGAUAUGAGAAAAACAACAAACAACGUUAGAACAGAAGGACGGUUUCGUGUUUCAAGGAGGGACGACCGAGAGGUCAGAGUGUGCGAGUCAAAAAGUGUGUGCGUUGCGAGAGUCAGAGUUGAUCGAGACACCGAAGAGUAGAGUUGAGAGAAUUGACCGAGUUGUCUAGAGAGAGAGAGAGAGAGAGAGAGAGUGUUAGAUUCGUUGUGACGAGAGUUGCCAAAUAACUGUAAAGUUAUUUGAUAUAAAUACGAGUAUCGCAUUUAGUUUCAGUUAAACAAACAUCGUUUUCUGUCCAAUUUAUAUUUGUAUAUUUAAUUCAAUAUUAAUAAAUUGUAAGUAAUCGGGGAAAAAUUUAUAUCUUAAUUUCCACGAUAUUACAAUAUUGUAUAUUAAUAUAUUUAAAUAUAUUCAGAUAACUAUAGUGAGGAAGUUUGUCAGCUUCCACCCUGACAUCUCUUUCCGAAUUUCCACUUUUUGCAUAUGUCUGUUCUCUUUUGUAAUUCCUCUCCACUUUAUCGCCACCUGUAUCAAUCUGGCGCCCUCCGUCGUCAGCAAAGGUUCCAGGCUAUGCCAGCAUAUUUUCCUUUCACUGAAUUGUCGAUUAUUUUCUAUAUUUUUGAAUUGAAGGGACAUAUUUUCAGCAUGGACUCCCACAAAAGGUCAAAAAAUAGUCUUGCCGUAGCCUUCUAGUAUACAACGAGGAAGAAUUUGGGGUUCACUCGCUGUAUCAGUUAUUUUACAGUCGUCAAAUGACCGCCGCAGGGAGACUUGUUCAAGCAUCACCCCCCGCCCCCUCCCCAGUGGAUACUAGGGGGUCCGAAAUUUCCUGCAUCGCAACGUUCUUCUCUCUGUCUGCACUUUCUAUAACUUUUAUAUAAAAAGAUAAGCAAGCCAUUUAACGUGCCCUGUCGUCAUCGCAUUACUACACUCGAUUGGCCACUUACUCUUUUGCAUCCUGUUCAGAAAGUCAAAGUCACGCGAGCUGGAUUCAGGAGGAUCCGCACGAAGAUGUGGUGAGUGAACCGUUAGACUAAAGAGGGACUGUCAACUUUAUCGAAGUCGCACAUCCAAGACAGAAGAAAGCUGAAGAUUUGAAAACAGUUAAUGACACCGCAGAAUGAGGCGUAAAUCAGGCCAAUAUCAGAAUGUAAUAAUUUAUUAACGAAAAACCAAGAAGAUAAACAAUAUAUUUUACAAAUAUUAGAACGAUAUUACCUUGAUAAAAGCUUGAUGCUCCCCCAACUUUUCAACGAGCAAUGGAAUCUUUGUUACCCGGAAUAACAUGAUUUGUGUAUACAGACAAUAUAAUUAUUCGUGGACGUUUACUUAAAUAACAACAAGAGAGAUUAUAGCAAAUUUUUGGAAGAAUAAUAGACAGUGGAUUAAAAUUGCAACCUAAUAAGUGUCAAAUCUUGCAUGAAGAAACAAUUUAUUUGGGCUAUAUAAUUAUCAAACAUGGUACAAAGUCAGACCCGUAAAGAUUAGGAACAAUUAAUAAUUUUCUUUCUGGAAUUGACAUUAUCGGGAACUUAUAGAACAUUUUUCACAUAUUGUGGAACCUAUUCGGGUUCUAAAUCCCAAACUUUCGGAAUUCAGAUGGCCUGACGAGGAACAAGAAGCCUUUGACAUAUUAAAAAAAAAAAUUGACAACAGCAUGACUGUUACAAUAAACUGAUGUUGCAAAACGAUUUAUGCUCUAUUUAUAACGACGCAUCAGAUAAAAGGGAAACGAUUUACCGGUAGUUUUUGUAAGUAGAGAGUUACUAGCAAUCUUACGAGCGGCUCAACAUUUCCUACUUUUAAGAACUUUUACCAAAAACACUGGAAGUUUCAAAAAAUCAUUAAAGGCUCAGAUGCAUCGCACGUGCUUAUAAGAAACGUGCAAUCUAAGCACAAACAAUAAUAUGAUACCUGUAGAGUGCAACUAUAGCUCGUUAUUAUAACUUAUCUCGUUACUAUAAGCGGAUCGUAUAAGGGGAACAUAUAUACUUACUGCAAUUAUAAUAAUUAGUUAUAAAUACGUUUCACAAUUAAAAUGCGAGAUCAAGGAGUCAGCGAAUAAAUAAUUCAUACAUCGAGAGGAUGAAACAGAACUCCGGCAUAUUACAAAACGAACCGCCAAUCUUCAUAGACAAUAAACACUAAUCGUAAUCGUACAGGACUAAGCCGAAAACAAACUAUGUAAAAAUUAUUAUUUAAACUUGCCUAUGAUAUGACUAGACUGCGGAUUCAUACUUUUCUGAACAAAAUUAAAGAAAUAGAAUCUAUAUAGAAAUUGUUUCAUUCACUAAAAAUUAUAGAAACUGCUGUGAUUUCAAUAAUUUAUGUAUUUUUAUGCACUAUAUGCGGAUUUUUGCAGUCUAGUUAUUACUAUUAUGUAUUACCGACGUAUUAUGUAAACUGGUUAUUAUCUUUGUAAAGUGAUAUAUUACGUUAUACAGAGUGAGUCAGUAAAAACGAUCAACUGAAAUAACUCGUUACCUAUUGAUUUUAUAAAAAAAAUGUUUGAAAUAAAAUUUAUUCUAUUUCAGAGA